rnacentral:rRNA from 1 species
AGACCCGAAACCCGGUGAUCUAGCCAUGGGCAGGUUGAAGGUUGGGUAACACUAACUGGAGGACCGAACCGACUAAUGUUGAAAAAUUAGCGGAUGACCUGUGGCUGGGGGUGAAAGGCCAAUCAAACCGGGAGAUAGCUGGUUCUCCCCGAAAGCUAUUUAGGUAGCGCCUCGUGAAUUCAUCUCCGGGGGUAGAGCACUGUUUCGGCUAGGGGGCCAUCCCGGCUUACCAACCCGAUGCAAACUGCGAAUACCGGAGAAUGUUAUCACGGGAGACACACGGCGGGUGCUAACGUCCGUCGUGAAGAGGGAAACAACCCAGACCGCCAGCUAAGGUCCCAAAGUCAUGGUUAAGUGGGAAACGAUGUGGGAAGGCCCAGACAGCCAGGAUGUUGGCUUAGAAGCAGCCAUCAUUUAAAGAAAGCGUAAUAGCUCACUGGUCGAGUCGGCCUGCGCGGAAGAUGUAACGGGGCUAAACCAUGCACCGAAGCUGCGGCAGCGAACGUAUCACCCAAGACAAC